AAAAACCCAUCGGAACUCGGAAUCGUCAUCCUUGACUUACUGGAGACGGAGAAAUAGCCUGCAACUUCGGUCAAAAAGACCUUAACUUUGUUUGACCUAAGGAAUCCCACGUCUGUCCUCUGUGAUCCACGCAAGAUUGUGAGAUUUCUGGGGCAUAUAUGAGGAAAUCUGAAACAACGAUCCUGGAAUUGGAAGACGGCAAAGGAAUUGAACAGUAAUCAAAAGAGUCGAAGAAAAGAAACAGAUCUUCGCACCUACCCCCCAAGAAAUGUCAGUGGCAAUCGUCGUUUAGUCUCCUCUUCUGAACGAACGAAAGAUCUAAAAAAAAUGAAAGGUCGAACCGUUGGAUAGAUUAUCAAUUUCCC
rnacentral:lncRNA from 1 species